GGAUCAGUUUGUAUAGCAGCUAUAUGCUAUAGUGAUCCGAUCUAAACAAUUUCUUUGGAGAGUGUACUGAGGAGCUAUUAAUUUUAGCUGGGCUAGAGAUUGAACUCACGACUCACCGAAUGGCAGUCACACGUUUUAUGCUCUACCUGACUACGACAAUUGAGUAGAUUUUAAAAUGUUACAUGAAGUUUAAUUACAUUCCACUUGAAUUUGAUCUACAAAAUAAGGGUAUUAUGAGAUUCUAUAGGUGUAACUAAGCAUUACUAAGUAUUAGUGUGUAAACAUAAAUGUAAAAUGUUGAUAAAUUCGCACAAUACAAUAUCAAAUAAAUGUUAAACAAAAAUCAAAAUAUAUUUCGCCGUAUUCCUUCUUAAUUCCAUUAUUUCUAAUGCAAUGCACUGAGCUUGCACUUACUUGUUUAUUUAUUUUAAUUUAUUUAAUGUUUUUAUUUUUUGUUUGUAUUUUUUUGCGCUUGAUUACAACUUUUUAUGAUUGUCAGCAUGGCGUGGAUCGUUUAUAAUUACAUUACUUUACAGUUAGAAAGCAAAUAUGUUGGAAGACGAACGGAUUGUCAGUUGUGUGAGUGGGGAACUAGUCAGUCAACCAGUCAUUCGGCGCUUAACCUUGUCGUGACCGCUUCGCCGGCCCGUCGGGUGUCUUGUUGGUUCGCUGUUUUUUCGCAAACCUAUCACCAAAGUUUUCGUCUCCAUACAUAUAUGUAUGUAUGUAUAACUUUUUUAUUCUUUGCCUUGAUAAUGAGUGCGGUGCAUUAUGUGUUAUAAAGUGAUAAUAGUAUUAGUUGUCCAAAUAGCGGUAAGCCAAAAAGCAUAUAUGACAUUUAGGUAAAUAACAAAGUGACAGGCUGGGUCUAAUGGGGACGGCCAAUGCGGAAUCGCGCUACCGUUGCACAAUGUAACUAUAGCAUUUUUUUUUGAACAAAACAACGUCUUAUGACAAAUGUUUUAUAAGUGUUUAUAUAUUUUUUCCCAUAUACUCGUAUGUAGUCUUAAUUUUCCAUCCCAGCUCGAGAGUAGUGACGCAGAACUUUCGGAACGGCAAGCACGCGUUGGGUCCAUGCAAUUUUGCAGCGUGCAAUGCAUUCUAUAAUGUCUAAAUGUCUUACUUUCACCCUUUUGCCUUCAUAUUUGCCUUUGUUGUACAGUUAGAAUAUUUCGCAUGCAGUUAUCACGCUCUAUUAUACGAGUUUUUCGUGAUGGGUAAAAUCACUUCUUCCCAUGUAAUGGGGGCAAAAAUCAAAUAGACUUCACGUCUAUGCUGAUACGAAAGACUAUAUACCUUUAUUAAUAGUAUUUAUUAAAAAUAUUUUUCAAAUGUAAAUAUAUUAAAAAUAAUGGUUGCAUAGCAAUUGGAUGCAUAUUUUAGUGCACUGAAAAAAAUAUGGCUACAAUCUAUCGAAAUAAUAUAUGUGAAAUAGUUUAACUCCUUCAUAGGAAUAUCAAACAUGAAUGGUUUUCAGGUAGCUAUAGAACUUAAAUCUAUAUUUAAAGUGGGUCAGAAAAGGUCCGAAUGAACUCUAAGCUAAAGACAAUAAGGAACACUGGGUCGCAAUGUAAAGGAUACGAAAAGUAAACGAACAAAUUUGAAUAGUGUUUAUGGUUUUGAUAUUUUAACAGAUAUACAAGCGAAAUUUUGGUUUCGUCUAUUCCAUUCCGAUAAUUCAAAAUUCUCCCCUGAAGCGGGUGCUUACUGGUGAUGAAAAAUGGGUCACCUAAGAACAAAACGAUCUUAGACGAAUCGUCGAAUAACCAUCAAAAUGGCUACUCGAUACCUUCAGCAAACAAAACGGUGCAUAUUUGACCUAAAUCGGAUCAUUCCAACUAUUUUAAAUAACCCCUUCAACUUAAUGCAAAAAUGUUGAAUUUAUUUUUACUAAAACAUAUAUGUAUAUAUAAACCUAUAUAUAUGAUAUAUAUAUAUAAAUACAUGCCUAUAUACAUAGUAUAUUUAGAGUCAUAUAGAAAAAAUGCUUGUAAGUGAAGACUAAUUCUCAUUUCCAACCAUUUGAUAACAAGAAGAGGCCUCAUAUGGGUUACUUAAUUGAAUUCUGAAAGCUCUGCCCUAAAAACUAUUUUCUGCAAGUUUAAUUCUGAAACUUUUCAGCCGUAUAAGAUCGUACUACUUUUUUUAAAGUUGUUUGAUAUUUGAACUCAAUUUUUCCGGUUUAAGAAUUCGUCGGCCUUAGGGACACAACCAGUCUUUAAGUCUAUGUGUAGAAAAAUCUCAAUUUUUUGUAUAAUUUACGUGCACAUUUUCGGAUUUGUUGCUAUAAAGGUGACCCCAUUAACCUGCCUCAUAAGUAUUGCGUCAGAUUUUACUCAUAAUCACACUUUGGAUUUCUGUUAUAAAAAAACAAUAAUAAUAAUAUUUGUUAUGAUUUUUGCACACUAAUUGGAAUAAAAUAAGUAAUAUAAAAUUGCUUUGAAUCGCAUUUCAUAAGUGAAGGUCACCGAACCUACUCAGUAGUUAAAAUAAUUUUAUUCUAAGUACAAUUGAUUUCAUGCGGUUCGUUCUAACAAAAAAAACUUUAAAAAACUUCUUUAUAAAAAACUUUAAUGAUUUAGCAUAAUUGUAUUUGUUAGUGUUUUGAGGGCUUUUUUGUCAUUAUUCAAUCAUAAAAAUUGAUGUCGUAUUUCAAUAAUAGAUUGUAACGCUGUCUUGGAUAAUAAACCAAGCCAAAAGCUAUAUGCAAUAUGGGUCCGAUAUCGGUGAUUCCGACAAAUGAGCAGCUAUACGUAGGGUGUGCAAAAUUUCAGAUCGAUAUCUCAAAAACUGAGGGACUAGUUCGCGUAUACACAGACGAUCGAACAGACAAACCGAAGGAAAUGGCGAAAUCGACUGAGCUCGUCAAGCUAAUCAUAUUUAAUAUACUUUUUAGAGUCUACGAUAAUUUCUUCUAAGUGUUACAAAUUUCGUGGCAAACUUAAUAUGUACUGUUCAGGGUAUAAAUAUCAGCCGAUUUGUGGGAUAUCUCUAUGAAAUUAAAUAGUUUGAUUAUAAACAUACGACAGAUUUCAUAAUUAUACGGAAAUUUGUGUGCUUCUCUAGCAAAAGGGUGUGCUUAACUACUGAGCGACUACCAUCAGGGAUCACGUGACUAAGUAAAUUUUCGUAAAUGUUUCGCUCAUAUGUACUUAAAUGCUAAAGUUCAUACGAUUAUAAGUAUUUAUUUUGAAUCAAUGAUGUCUACCGAAUUGUCAUUACUCAAAAAAUACUAUGUAUUAUCUAUAUUUUUUAUAUAAAUACAUAUAUGUACAAAUGUA